GACAGGCCCUGGGCGGAUCAGCUACAGCCUGUGUCCCGCUGACGCUUGCAGGGGGAUCUGAAGCCCCUCCCUCCACUCUGCCUCCGCGACCCGCCCCCACUGCGCCCGGACUCCCGGCCUGCACAGCGCUGACUGUCCUUCUGGUUUUUCCAGGAGGCAUUUUGCUAAGGGCCCCCGCUCCCCCUCUCAUGCCUAACAGCCUCUCCCAGUGACCCCGGAGCCGCUUCCGGGUGAAGGCGGCAGGAGCGCGGAGCUGAUGCGGGAGGUGAUCCCAGAGGCCGGGCCAGGAGGCCCCGGCGGACUUGCCUUGGCAGGGCCUCAGAGAUUUCCCAGGAAAGCAAGACGGAAUUGUUAGAGACAUCCACGCCCCCUCAACAUGAUGAUGCCCAGGAUUCGUGGGUAGAAGCAAGAGUCUGGAUCAGUCGCCCUCUGCCACCUCUCCAGCUGUCUGGGACCAUUUCUGAGCUGACCUGGCUAAACCACGGCUGUGUUCAAGGAAGCCCGGGGUCUCCAUCUCUCCUCUUACAUUUUCCAGCUCAGGGUCCCUUUCUGGACCUCAGCAGGAGGCAUUCUGCAUCAUGCGCGUGAAUGCUAGCUUUGAAUCACCGCUCAGAAAAGACAGAGGUCUUCUGGUCCAAGCGGCACUCAGUGCGGCUCUCGAGUCUGGAGUGAUCAGCCGCGAGGAGCUGGCUCUGCGUCCCUCCCCAGGGGCAGCCCAGGAGCCUCACAUGAAGGAGCGAUCACGGUCACAGGACGGACCCUCCAUCUGGGCACGCGCUCUCCCCAGAGCUUAGGGCCAAGGGGAGAGUAGGUGCUCACUCACGUACACACAGCUGUGUCUGGGUGAAUCAUUCCAGAACCUUCAUGCACCCGGAGGACUCACCUCCCCUAGAACCUUCUCUAGAACCUUCUAGUACCUUCUCUCCUCAUCUGUGCUUUAUCCAGUGACUUUUGUACGAGACUUUACACUUCGGACAUCAUCUCUAGCACUGCCCUUCCCCCACUUAGGAUGGGGACGCCUGCAGACAGCCAGGCCUCCACAGCCCACACGCUCUUUUUCUCUUAGAACGGGCACCAGCCAAGCAAAGCUUGGAGGCACUUUGACUGCUGACAGUACAGGCUCGGCUCAAAGGUGUGUUUUCUUGCUUCUGAAAUUUCAGAAAUGAAAAAAUCCUUGCAGGAGCCCCUUCGCGGUCUCGCCCCCUAAAUCAUGAGGAUGUCUGAAGCUCGGUGUCACCGGGACCAUAUUUUCUAUGGUGUUCUUUCAAAGCGUGCUCCUGGAAAAGUACUUUGGGAGGCAGAGUCUGAAGCCUUAGGAAUUAUUAGUAUUUUCAUUUCGCCAGGAAGCAAUGGGGCAGAACAGCCUGGCGGCCGCGUGCCCGGUACAGUCCCUGGGGGACUCCAGCAGGCUUGUCUGGAAGACCCCCCGGCCAGGUCCCUGUGGAAGGGCUGGCGCAGCUUGGCUUCAACAAGCUGCAGGGUCUUGCUCUUUCCAAGGCCUGGCUCCCCAGCACUGUCGGAUGAUGCCAUGGGGACACAGAGGGGCUUUACAAAUACGAGGGCAGUCUAACUUCCAAGGCUCCAUGUGUGUUACCCAGAAAAUCCGGUAGCCCAGCUCUUUGCGCAAAAGACACAAAUACUGAGUUAGGGGCCGCCCAGCUCCAUCCCUGAGGCCAGCCUGGCGCCCGAGGCCCCGGGACACGCAGGAGACCGGGGAGGGGCUGGAUUCUUCUCCCGUGAUCCAGG
ensembl:lncRNA